GUCUUAACUGCUGUUUGUAAAAUGGAAAAACAACCUGUCUAUGCAUUAAGAAGAAAAUACCUAAAUACCCACCUCCUCUCUGCUAAAAAUAAACUUAGAUCAAAAAUACUGCAGAAUAAGAAAUCUGAAUGGAUGAUUUUAGAAAUUGGACUGCCAGGGAGAAUUAAAAAAAACCUCAAACCACAAACCAAUGCCAGCAGUUCUUCUGAGACUAAAUCUUCUGAGAUUAAGAAACACAAAAUCUGAAUGAGCCCCUUUGGAAUCAAGGACAACAGGAUAUAGACCAGAGCAAAGGGCUGAGUCUGAGGAUGCUCUCUCCACUCACUUCAAACUCUUUAAUAAUUUUGAAAAAUGGAGCUGCACCAUCCUGUUUUUACUAUGAAAUUUACUCUGUAAACUUCUGCAUGCAGCUGGAGGAAAAAAAUAUCCUGUGCACAGGGCAAGGAAUCCUUUAACUAGAUAAUCUGAAAAAAGUAAAAAUAAGGUAAUCUGCAAUGUUCCCUGUGUAAAGCCAUUUCCUAUGAAGUCACAUGUUACAGCAUGUCUAUUAUUUUCUACCACUUUGCUUUAAAAAGCAUAAACUGAAUUUUUUUUAUCUACAAACUCUUCCUCUGAGCUGAACAUGUCUACGUUUGAGCAUAAGCAUUAUCUUUCUUCUGAGGAAAAGAACAGUAGUUUUCAGUGUUGCAUAUGCUAUCCUAAUGGCAAAUCUUUUAUGUGAUGAAUCUAGAUAAGGCAAUUAUAAAAAUUUGACAUAGCUCAUCAAACUUUUCAAACAUUGGUACUAUCAGUUGUAACUGGUUAAAUAGUACAUAAAAUGAGCCAGAACAUGAGAAGCCAACCUUUAAUUUUCCUUUCUCU
rnacentral:lncRNA from 1 species